CUUCGGAAUUUGAGACCGGCGCACGGGUGCGUAACGCGUAUGCAAUCUACCUUUUACAGAGGGAUAGCCCAGAGAAAUUUGGAUUAAUACCUCAUAGUAUAUAGCCCUGGCAUCAGGAUUAUAUUAAAGUCACAACGGUAAAAGAUGAGCAUGCGUCCCAUUAGCUAGUUGGUAAGGUAACGGCUUACCAAGGCUACGAUGGGUAGGGGUCCUGAGAGGGAGAUCCCCCACACUGGUACUGAGACACGGACCAGACUCCUACGGGAGGCAGCAGUGAGGAAUAUUGGACAAUGGGCGCAAGCCUGAUCCAGCCAUGCCGCGUGCAGGAUGACGGUCCUAUGGAUUGUAAACUGCUUUUAUACGAGAAGAAACACUCCUACGUGUAGGAGCUUGACGGUAUCGUAAGAAUAAGGAUCGGCUAACUCCGUGCCAGCAGCCGCGGUAAUACGGAGGAUCCAAGCGUUAUCCGGAAUCAUUGGGUUUAAAGGGUCCGUAGGCGGUUUAAUAAGUCAGUGGUGAAAGCCCAUCGCUCAACGGUGGAACGGCCAUUGAUACUGUUAAACUUGAAUUAUUAGGAAGUAACUAGAAUAUGUAGUGUAUCGGUGAAAUGCUUAGAGAUAACAUGGAAUACCCAUUGCGAA
rnacentral:rRNA from 1 species